rnacentral:rRNA from 1 species
GUGCCCUUGCCCUCCCCCACCGACUGCAUAACGCGAAGAACCUUACCAGGUCUUGACAUCCCAUUGACGGCACCUUAACCGGUGCUUUCCUUCGGGACAAUGGUGACAGGUGGUGCAUGGUUGUCGUCAGCUCGUGUCGUGAGAUGUUGGGUUAAGUCCCGCAACGAGCGCAACCCCUAUCUUUAGUAGCCAGCAGUUCGGCUGGGCACUCUAGAGAGACUGCCAGGGAUAACCUGGAGGAAGGCGGGGAUGACGUCAAAUCAUCAUGCCCCUUAUGAUCUGGGCUACACACGUGCUACAAUGGUGACUACAAAGAGAAGCAAAGCUGUGAAGUGGAGCAAAUCUCAAAAAGGUCAUCUCAGUUCGGAUUGUAGUCUGCAACUCGACUACAUGAAGCUGGAAUCGCUAGUAAUCGCAGAUCAGAAUGCUGUGGUGAAUACGUUCCCGGGUCUUGUACACACCG